CUGAAGAUCUUUGAACAUUCGGGAGCAGCCAUAUCCUCAGUGCUAUGCCAGCCUCCUCGCCACUGCUGUCGUGUGGCUGUGACUACUUUUGGCUGCUGGCGAGAUGGGCACAAUUUCCUCCGGGUUCAUGCAUCGUGAUGGUAUUUGAACAACACCUUAACUGGCCCAAGAAAAUUUAGUAGCAUUGUCGGAUGAUAAACCAACAUUUUUCUCAUGUACUAUGUCUCACGUUCUAAUUUUGGUAUUCUGGUAGGAAGGGAUCAGUUUUGGCCGUGUUCGGUGCUGGCAUGUCAUGUGAUUAGAGAAUAGGAAGCUGACAUGAUGUUUGAAACUCGGUGGUCAUGCUCAUUGACUAGAUGCUGCGCCUCAUGUCACCCCGGGCGUCGAAGGGCUUGCUAGCAGUGCCCAUGGAGUAAGAAUAUGUCUGCAAGUGCUUGUUUGCCAUAUGCCUACCCACUCCUCCGUCUCAUGAAGCUUUCUUUUAUUUCUCUAAAUUUGCGGUGUGCAUGUCUGAAAAAAUAACAUGAAUAGGC
rnacentral:lncRNA from 1 species